rnacentral:rRNA from 1 species
GAUGAACGCUGGCGGCGUGCCUAAUACAUGCAAGUCGAGCGAAUGGAUUAAGAGCUUGCUCUUAUGAAGUUAGCGGCGGACGGGUGAGUAACACGUGGGUAACCUGCCCAUAAGACUGGGAUAACUCCGGGAAACCGGGGCUAAUACCGGAUAACAUUUUGAACCGCAUGGUUCGAAAUUGAAAGGCGGCUUCGGCUGUCACUUAUGGAUGGACCCGCGUCGCAUUAGCUAGUUGGUGAGGUAACGGCUCACCAAGGCAACGAUGCGUAGCCGACCUGAGAGGGUGAUCGGCCACACUGGGACUGAGACACGGCCCAGACUCCUACGGGAGGCAGCAGUAGGGAAUCUUCCGCGAUGGACGAAAGUCUGACGGAGCAACGCCGCGUGAGUGAUGAAGGCUUUCGGGUCGUAAAACUCUGUUGUUAGGGAAGAACAAGUGCUAGUUGAAUAAGCUGGCACCUUGACGGUACCUAACCAGAAAGCCACGGCUAACUACGUACCAGCCGCCGCGGUAA